AAUAAAUAAAAUCAAAAGUGUGUGGUUGGUAGAAAAAGCUACUUUGGAAUUUGUGUUUGUGUGGAAUGAGAGUGCUCGGCCCAUAAGUUAAUCAUGAAACGAGAGGACUCUCAUUCUUCUUCUUUUUUUUUUUUCCUCUGAAUUUUUAUUAAUAAAACAGAGAAGGAUACAUCGACCGACGGAAAGAGUUAAUAUCCCUGGUAAGAUAAGCCGGCGGAAAAUAGUGAUAUCCCCGGAGACAAGAGCCCAAACAAGGGAAGCAUACAUAAGCCCGCAAAUUCCGACUAAUCUAAGCUCGGAACCUCGAGAAGCAUAGCCCGAUUACACGGGAGACAAGAACUUAAAGCAAACAAAAGGUUUUACAUGAGAUUAUACAAACUACUAAACUCAAACUUCCCAUAAAGGUUCAAACCGAGAGCAGAAAAAGAUCAGACAUCGUUGGGGCUCCGACAAUAUCCAAUAGAGGCUUCAACUCUUCUUGUCCUCGCUUAAAAUGGGUAGACUUCGGAAAUUAGAAACCUUGUGCUUCAUAAGUGUGGCACGACGAAAUGCCUGGGCCGGAUUUGAAACUAGCUCAACUAGUAACCGGUUAGGAGGACGCACAACACAUUCAGAUCUCGACCAAACCUGAAAAUAACUUCGAGUGGAGGAAACAAACAAGGUCGCUUAAACGACUCACCAAAAACUUCAGAGGGAAGGAAAGGUGAAGGAUGCGAUUCGAAUAAGCCUAGGGAGAAACCCACAAAGAGGAAAGAGCAAUUGCAGUAAAAUCUCAAAAAAUCAUUAAGCUAAACUAACUAAAGCCUUCUCAACAAAAGAGGAGCAGUCGCUCAUAAGAAGCAGCGACAACUCCCGGAUCCACACCGACCACUCUCGACACGGCCUAGCCAACCCAGAGAAGCAUCUCCCAAAACUACAACGAACCUCGCCAAGACGAAACUCCAUUGAAAUCAUAAAGAAGAAACACCAGAGAUUGCAAUAAUCUGGAGAGUAAAAAUGAGUUCCAAACCCCAAAAAAGACAAAGACCUGCGACAGAUCUAGAUCUAGAAAAGAAGAUCUGAAACUAAACUUAACCCUUGCACAACCAAGGAGAAAAACCGGUGAGAUACAAGUGAGAAGGAAGCACAAAACAUAAGCUAGAACAACUGGCCGGAGCCACCGUCGGAAGGACGGCGGCCACAGAAGCAAACCCUCGAAACUUUUUUUCUUUCGCUCUCUCUGUUUUUUUUUUUUCGACCUGACCGACCUCCAACUCUCAUUCUUCUCUUAGUUCUUUUUUUUUUCAUAUAUUUCAACAAAAAAUAUAUUUUAAAAAUUUGUAGAAACGGUUGGUAACAUAAAACAAAAAUACUAGAAAAAUAAACGAUAAAUGUUAGAAAUAUAGUUAUCAAUGUAUUUUUGAUCGUG
rnacentral:lncRNA from 1 species